rnacentral:lncRNA from 1 species
UGGAAACAAGCCCCCAGUCAGCUGGUCUGGCAGCUGAUUUGAUGCAGAUCAAGAGGGAAGUGAGGAAUCGAUAGGGAAGACUGUGAUCACCCCUGAUCGGCACAGACAGAUAGGAGGUGUUAAGGGGGUUCAGAAGAGGUUAAGACAUAGGAGAGAUGGAUAAGGUUUUCCGUACUUCCGAUCGAAAUUCCAGAGGGGCUGGGCACAGUGGCUUAUGCCUGUAAUCCCAGCACUUUGGGAAGCCAUGGCAGGUGGAUCACUUGAGGCCAGGAGUUCGAACCCAGCCUGGCCAACAUGGUGAAAACAUGUCUCUACUAAAAAUACAAAAAUUAGCCAGGCAUGAUGACGGGUGCCUGUAAUCCCAGCUACUCGGGAGGCUGAGGCAGGAGAAUCCCGGAGAACCUGGGAGGCAGAGGUUGCAGUGAGCCAAGAUUGCGCCACUUCACUCCAUCCUGGGCGAGAAAGCGAGACUCUGAAGAAAGAAAAGAAAAGAAGCCGGGCGUGGUGGCUCACGCCUGUAAUCCCAGCACUUUGGGAGGCUAAGGCGGGCAGAUCACGAGGUCAGGAGAUUGAGACCAUCCUGGCUAACAUAGUGAAACCCUGUCUUUACUAAAAAUACAAAACUCUGGAAGCCCUCCAGCUGCCACCUUCCUUUCUGUCCCUCCCCAGGAGGGAUAUGCAGGCCCAGAGGAGGUGACUCCAGGCGGGUGGUCCCAGAGGAAGGGGGCUCCACCCUUCCCCUGAGUAGUGGGGAAUGUGGCUCCACCCUUCCCCUGCAUAGUGGGGAAUGUUUGGGAUCUGCUGGGAGGGGUCUGCCAUGGGGGCAGUGUGGGAAGGUACUCAGAAACCACCAGCACCCCCCACCCUGGUGGCCCUGGAUUCUGGUGGGGCCACUGGAAGCCCGGACCCAUGCAGGUCUCAGCAACAUCACCCCCUCCAC